UUCAGGAGGAAAGAGGUUGUGGAUAAGAAGCCUGACAUCAAGAACCUCUUGGAAAGAUGGCCAGGUCUAUUUCAGAUGGAAGAGAUUAAUGCAGAGUUUCUGCGGGUUACUGCAGUUCCCCUGCUAACCAGAUUCAUGGCCCAGCUGGACAAGCACUCCCCACAGCUACUUAAAAUAAUCAGAAAGAAAGGAGGGACAACCAAAGCAAAAACUGCCAUAAUCCUAGAGUUUCUUGAUCAGGAUGCUGAUGCUGACAUUAGGAUGGAGUGUAUACUUAAAUCUCUCAUUAUCUACCUUGGAGAACACGUUGAG